UCAAGCAGAGUACAAUAUAACCACGAAAACAAUUCAUAAGGAAAAGUUCAGAAAACUGUGUUGCCUCCUAGUAAGCGCUGCUUUAACGUCACUAGCUUGACCCAAUCUUCAUUAUCACAACAUCCAUCAGCAGAUGCUAAUAUUUCUUAUCUGCAUUGGCAUCCCUCAGUAGACACCAACCUUUGUCAUCUUCAUCGGCAUCCAUCAGUAGAUGCCUAAUCACCUAACUUCCAUCAGUAAAUGUCUAGUUACCGUCCUCUUCUAGUGUAGCAUCCAUCAGUAAAUGUUGUCAUUCAUCCUCCUCAUUAUAGCAACAUCCAUCACUAGAUGUUGUGUAAGCAUCCAUCAGUAGAUGCGGUCAUUACUGCCAUCAAAAGCAGCAUAUAAGCUAAAAUAAACUCAAACACACAAAAACAAAAUCAAAUUCAAACCAUACAACUAAAUUAAAAAGAAAAUAAAAUAAAAUAAAACAAAUAAAUAAAAUAAAAUAAAAUAAAACAAAAUAAAAGAUAAAAAAAUUCAAAAACUGAAUUAUUUCCCAACAAGCGUUUCUUUA
rnacentral:lncRNA from 1 species